ACUUUCAUUUCUUCCUCUUCCACCUCCUGCUUCUCUCUCUCGCCAUAAGCCAUUCUGAAACAAAAAAAAAUCUGUCUCUCAUCAAAUCAUCAUCAUAAUCACCUUUCUUUUCUUUGUCUUCUCCCAUGUCUCUCUUUUUGAUGCUUUGUUGUUUGCUUCUCGUUAAUCAGUGUAUUAAUGUGUGGAUGGUUUAGUAUUUUGACAGAUCUGAAGUAGACUCUGCUAUGAACGAGAGACCUUCGAGUAAGAACCCACUUGCGUACAAGUAUAACGUUGAAGAGGAGAUUCUUGGGAAGAAGAUGAGGUGAUCCUUUUGGUGCGGUGAUAAAGUAUUGGCCUUGGAAAUAUUGUACGAACUCUGUGUCUAUGGCUAAGAGAAGAAAGAGAGCUAACUUUGUUUUCUUGAAGAAACUUGGAGGUUAUUGGUGGUGUUUCAAUAACAGAGACAUAGCACCUGAUGGCAGUACACUUGAGAUUGAAUAUGAGGCAAAGGAUCAGAUUAAAUCUCUGCUCACGAGGAAGAAGUAGAGAUCAAUUAUGGUUUAGAUGGUGACCUAUUAAGCAAGAAGAGGAUCAUUUAGAUAAUGAUCGAUCUCAUAGAUUAGUACUUAAGAGUAGAGUAGUUGAUUUUUUUUGUAUAAGAUUUGGUUUGGAUUAAUCUUUGUAAGACGUUUUUAUGGAUUUUCUAUGAAAUAAAAAAUAUAUUGUUUGACCAAA